GGUGUGUGUGUGGCCAGCCUUCUGUAACAAUUACGACGAGGCGAUCUUAAUCUUUCGAAAUACCAGUGGAAGAUGGUUUGAUUAACGCCGUAGAGAAUUUCAGAAAUCGGCAUCAGGAUAGUAAUGAAAUUGAACCACCCAAGAAGUUAUUUCAGUCGUCGUCUGAGAAAUCAACAAACUUUGUCGUCGUCUUAAACUUUUUCUUUCUCGUCUAAAUGGCGUUUGUCAGGUUCAUUCACCUUAGCCACAAUAUACGAAUACACAGUAGUGGUAUUUUCCAAGGGUGGCUUGGAAUUAGCCAAUGCCUAGUGAAUGGUCCAGGACGGACCGACACGUCGUCGUCCC